UUUUUUCUUUUCUUUCUCUUUCAUUUUUCUCUUGGGCCUUGACUUCACUAAGGCCCAUACGCCCACGCUUCUUCUUCCUCCUCGUUCAUGUUCACAGGAACACGAACAGAGGCUACAUCCAUGGCGCCUCCACCUCUUCCUUCCCUCCUCUUCCUCUCCCAACCCACUAACCUCCAGAACCGGUUCCCCUCUCCUCCCUCGACCCCUCCCCUCCAUUAGUGCGCCCUAAUUCCCCCCCUAAUGGCCAUUAGAACCACAGGUAACUGCUGCCAUUAACGCCCUUAAAUCCGACGAUGCCCGCUCUCCUCUGGCUCCCCCUGACCCUCUAUAAAAUCCCAAGGAGUCUCCCAGGUUCUCCUUGUCCGAAGCCCCCUCCUUGGAGGAGCUAUCUCUCUCUCCAUCUUCCCAAAUUGCUCGCCGGAGUUCUACUCUGCCGCCGCUGUCCGUCAAUUACUCCGGCGAUUACAAGCCGGAGCACGAGUUUCAUGUUGUCUGCUUCUGACCGGAGCUUCGCCAACUCCGGCAGCUGUUCACCGCCACCAGAGGAAGAGGCCGAGGACACAACCGAGUCCGAAGAGUUCGCCUCGACCUCCUCUUUCCCGUCCACCUCGAGAGCAUCACCAGAGCACGCCCGAGCCGUCGUCCCUCUCGUCGCCGGCGACCAACUCCGAUGAGAUAUAUCGUAAAGUGAAGGAGUGACGAUAACAAGUAGAGAAUCACUUCAAGACACAGGCAAGUUGCAAUUUGAUCAUGCACUGACCUAUAUUUUCAUAUUAUGCAUAUCUCUUUGAAUUUAAAUACUAUGCAUGUUUUUCAAAAGUUUUGCAAAGUACUAUUACUAUCUAUAGCCUUAGGUUCAAGACUUACUACCUGUUGGAAAUAUGCCCUAGAGGCAAUAAUAAAUGGUUAUUAUUA